rnacentral:rRNA from 1 species
GAUGAACGCUGGCGGCGUGCCUAAUACAUGCAAGUCGAGCGAACGGACGAGAAGCUUGCUUCUCUGAUGUUAGCGGCGGACGGGUGAGUAACACGUGGAUAACCUACCUAUAAGACUGGGAUAACUUCGGGAAACCGGAGCUAAUACCGGAUGAUAUUUUGAACCGCAUGGUUCAAAAGUGAAAGACGGUCUUGCUGUCACUUAUAGAUGGAUCCGCGCUGCUUUAGCUAGUUGGUAAGGUAACGGCUUACCAAGGCAACGAUGCAUAGCCGACCUGAGAGGGUGAUCGGCCACACUGGAACUGAGACACGGUCCAGACUCCUACGGGAGGCAGCAGUAGGGAAUCUUCCGCAAUGGGCGAAAGCCUGACGGAGCAACGCCGCGUGAGUGAUGAAGGUCUUCGGAUCGUAAAACUCUGUUAUUAGGGAAGAACAUAUGUGUAAGUAACUGUGCACAUCUUGACGGUACCUAAUCAGAAAGCCACGGCUAACUACGUG